ensembl:lncRNA
GGUCUCCCGUACUGCAGGCAGAUUCUUUACCAUCUGAGCCACCAGGGAAGUCCUUGUAUACCGAAGUUGGUAGCUUAUCCCUUCUCAGGGGAUCUUCCCGACUCAGAAAUCAAACCGGAGUCUCCUUCUUUGCAGGCUGAGCUACUAGGGUAAUGGUUAUUUUUCCCCACAAAUUAAUUAUUUUUGUAAAGAUUCUAUAAUGUCUCCUUCUUAUUGUAAGUAUUGUGAAAGCAUUCAUAGAACCUGGGGGAUCUUCCCUCUAAUGAAGACCAUUUUCUGCUGUUGAUUAACUUGCAUCAUCAAGCCUUUAGGUUCAGUUUCCUGAUCUGGGAAUCAAAGGUUUACAAUGGCUAGUUGCUAAAGAUCCUUUUUAUGAUUCUAUCUAUAAGGACAAUUAUUUUUGAAAUUUUCUUUUAAAAUAAAUGUAGGAAAUCUCAGAUAUUUUAGUGUAAAAACUUCAGAAAAUAGGGAUCAGGAAGAUAUUAAUGGAUGUUACCCUAAGAACACACUUUCAUCAUAAAAACAUUCACCCAGCACUAGGUAAAAUGAGUCUCCCAGCCACAGUAUCUAUAUGUUUUUUUUUUAUUCUUGUUUUUUUUUUUUUUAAUUUUAACAUGGUUCAAUAUGCUGUUAUGCCAGCACUAACCAAAUGAGUUUUUAAGCAAUAAUGUAUCCUGUAAGGAAAAAAUUAAAUGCCGAUUUUGUCUGUGUAGGAAGUGUGUAGGCAAGAUUCUCAACUUUUAGGAAAAUUUCUGUCUUCAUAGAAAGAUAUUUUUCAGCUACUCUUUGAAUUACUUCCCUGAGAACAAAGAAAAGACUAUGAAAAUGGAGUUGUCACAGGAUUUGCUUGACGGCAGGGGUGAUCUGUGGCUGCCUCCACCUUUGCUGGAAUUGAGAGCAGAAUCUGAGAGGAAGACAGAGGUGGUGUCACAGUAGGGCUGGGGAGGCACUGGGAACAAAACUGCUUCAGAAAAUGGCCCAAUUGACUGGUUCUGCCCCAAAGGCCCCAGAUAGCCAAAGCAGUCUUGUGAAAGAAAAAAGGAACUGGAGGAACCAGUCUCCAUGAGGGCUAUUAAAUUGUUGACACCUGUUGUGAGUUCAAUGAGUGCCACCAAAGUUUGUCUGUUGAAGUCCUAAUGUCUAGCACCUCUGGAUAUUAUUUUAUGUGGAGAUGGGGUCUUUACAAAGUGUAAUUGAGUUCAAGGUCUUUAGAGUGGGCAUUAAUCCACUAUAACUGGUGUUCCUAUAAAAGGGGGAAAUUUGGAGACAAAGACAUAUACAGGGGGAAUACCAUGUGAACAUGAAAAAGGCCAAGGAGCAAGGCUUGGAACUGAUCUUUCCCUCAUACCCCUCAGAAAAAACAACCCUGUAAACAUCUUGUUUUUGGAUUUCUAGCCUCUGGAAUGGGAAGAUAAAAAAUUCCUGUUCUUAAAGUACUAAGUUUGUGGUACUUUGUUCAGCAGCCCUAGCUAACCAAAACAACACCCAACCUGAAUAAAUUUUAAGGAACAAGUAAGUAUCAGAAAUUCUGAUUUAUAUGAGUCAUUCCACAGAGUAAAGUGGAAUGUUUGAAAUGGAAUUGAGAGUUUUGUGAUUUUUAUUUGUAGUGAAAAGAAUUUUACUAAAAACAGUUGCAUAUAUAUAUAUAUUCAUGCACAUAUUAUUUUAAAAAGUUAAGCUAUAUAUAUAUAAAGUUAA